rnacentral:rRNA from 1 species
CACGUAGGGCGCAAGCGUUGUCCGGAAUUAUUGGGCGUAAAGAGCUUGUAGGCGGUUUGUCGCGUCUGCCGUGAAAAUUCGGGGCUCAACCUCGAACUUGCGGUGGGUACGGGCAGACUAGAGUGUGGUAGGGGAGACUGGAAUUCCCGGUGUAGCGGUGAAAUGCGCAGAUAUCGGGAAGAACACCCGUGGCGAAGGCAGGUCUCUGGGCCACUACUGACGCUGAGAAGCGAAAGCAUGGGGAGCGAACAGG